UAUGUAUGUUUAUCAGAACUAGGGAAGGGGAACACCAAAAUGGAGAGACAAAGGGUAAAAGGUGAACCAAUUCAACAGCAAUACUUACAAGACAGUAGCUGUAAAUCAAUUGUACAACUCAGGCAAGGAAGGAAUUGGGGAGGGAGGAAGGUGGGA